GUCUUCCUGCAGAGAUGAGGAAGUGCUGCUGGGAGGGCGGCUCAGGCUGGGAGCCCAGCUGAACAGUCAGCUGUGGUUGCCUAUAUUGAGAAAGAUGUGGGUGGCCACAGACUUGAGGACAGUUCUCGUGUAGGGUAUUUUGGCAAAACUAACGCUGUGGAUCCACUUCCAACAUGCACAGUAGUACACAGCCUCAUCUUCUUUUUCUACCAAAUUUAUUUUCAAGAUUGACAUGAAAGUGCAGGAAUUUUUAUUUGCUUCAAAUUUCUUGCUCUUCUCGCCUAAGCUACCUCAAACAGUGGUUGUUGUUGACUUAACACAUAUUAGAUGUUUUAUACCCUGAUUUGGUUUCAGAUAGUACCAGUGUAUGAUUGCAUUUUCAAAGUUUUCAAUCAACACCUUGCAAGUUAUGUGUGCCCUUCUAUAUGUUGCUUUGGAAAUUGAUAUAUCAGGCUGCUCUAACUUGCAUUGCCCAAGUCCAACCGCAAGCAAAACAAAGAAAUUCCAAUGAACAAAUGAUAUAUAAAGAGGCAACAUUCAGUAAUUUCAUCAGUCUCUCUUCUACACUCAAAUGGCUGGGAGACAACUCACAAGCCCAGAGGAAAGAAAGGAGGAAUGAUUCCAGCAGUGGCAUCCCGUCUGCCAGGCGGGCUCCCCAAGGAGAAGCUAAAGAAGAGCAGCCUGUUAGCUGGAGGUCCUAGGUCAGUGGCAGGCAGGCAGUGCAGGUUCUGGCUUCGGGUAAGAAGUGGUGGCUCAGGUGGUUUCCUGGGGCCCUUCACAAUCUGCUAUGCAGUUCGGGGGUUUCCUUCAGCUUAUGAAUGCUGUGCAGAUCGGGUAAUAGAGUUCAUGAUCUAGAGAGAAAUCCCCAGUAUGAAUGAGUGUGUCUGAGUGUGGGGCAUGGAUGGUUCUCAUACUCCUUUGCCCAUCCCCCCUGAAGUUUCAUGCUGUAAAACAUUGCUGUGGAAAUGUAAAGACAUAUUUUCUGGGUUCAGCUCCACCAUUCAUCCUUCUGUGAUUUAUUGUUGAUUCAGGACACAGGCAUAUGAGACCUGACAUUUGUUUUUCCAUAACACAGCAAAAAAUAAUCAUAAACCAAAAUACCUUAUUGUCAUUAUUUAAUACUCCAUAUGCACAAGCAUUGCAUUUUUUUUUUUUUAGUUACUUGGGAUGUCUUCAUGCCGAACAUGACUAACAAGUGGUGAGGAUAUGGAGAAUUUGAGACCCCCAUACAUUACUGGUGGGAAUGUACAAUGGUAAGGCCACUAUGAAAAACUGUUCGACAGUUCCUCAAAACAUUAACCAUAUAAUUGGCGUAUGACCCACCAGUUCCACUAUAAGGUAUGUACCCAAGAGAUUUGCAAGCAAACACUCAAAAAGAGAUGUGUACACCAAUGUUCAUUGUGGCACUAUUCACAGUUGCCAAAAGGUAGAAACAACCCACGUGUCCAUCAAAAGAUGAGCGGAUUAAUAAAAAGUGGUAUAUUCAUACAAUAGAAUAUUAGUCAGCCAUAAAGAGAAAUGAAAUUUUGGUACGUGAACCUUGAAAAUAUUAUACUGAGUGAAUUAAGUCAGACAAAAAGAAGAAAUAAGAUCUGAUCUCACUUACAUGAAAUAUUUAGAUUAGGCAAAUACAUGGAGACAAAGGAUUAUUAGUGGUCACCAGGAGCUAGGCGGGGAGAGAAUUCAGUUAUUAUUUAAAGUGUACUGAGCCUUUGGGGUGAUACAAAACUUUUCAAAGUGGACAGUGGUGAUGGUAGCACAACAUUAUAAACGUAAUUAAUGUCAUCAAGUUGCACACUUAAAAACAGUUAAAAUAGCAAGGCUUUUAUUAUGAAUAUUUUACCUCAAUAACACUUAAGAAAAACAAACACAGACUUCUUGUCUCUCAUCACUUUAACUCUCUAAGCUUUAAUUUAUUUAUCUGUAAAAUGGGUAAAUAAUACAUACAUGGAUGUUGUAACGGUUAUAUGUGAAAAAAUAUGUGUAAUACUUCUAGAGUUCUUGUUACACAAUGAUUUCCCCCCCUCAGCAUGAGUCAUCCACAGUUAGUAGAUGUCUCAGACACAGCUAGGGUGAAUGGCGCCGGAACGUGUGUCCACUCAACAUCAGAAGUGAACUUCCCUCAUUAGAAAGUUGUGUUAAGUGAAAAUAUGGAAAGAUCAUGGUUAGGAAUGCUUCCUACUAAAAGUGGGGCUGGCGUUCCAAGAUGGCUUUCUGCAAAGCUCCAGAAGUGCUGCUGAGAAGGGGAGGCUGAGGCUGGGAGCAGAGCUGCAAUCUCUUUUCUAGACUGAAAUGACUGGGAGGCAACUCACAAGCCCAGAGGGAAGAGAAGAUGAAUGUUUCCAGCAGUGGCAUCCUGUCUGCCAGGCGAGGAGAAGAAAGAGCACCCUGUUAGCUGGAGAUCGCAGGCAGAAGCAAGGGUGACCCCAAUAUAGUGGACUCAGCAAAUGGCUAUGAACUUCAUUUUGAUGACAUCAUGCUGGCAGAACCCUGAAUGUCAAGUGAGAAACCAUCUACCUCCUCCACCAGAAAAAAGACAUUUGAUCCUUCCCAAAUUUCCCUCAGAUAUUCUGUUUGUUAUCGAAUUGUGAUCUUUAAAUUUUCGGGGUGCCCUCAUGGUUAAAAAUGUGUUACCACCUCACACCUACUAGGAUGUCUAUUACUAGAAAAACAGAAACUAAGAAGUGUUGGAGAGCAUGUGGAAAAUUUACAACCCUCAUGCAUUACUGGUGGGAAUGUAAAAUGGUACAGCUUCUGUGGAAAACAGUUUGAUGCUUCCUCAAAAAGUUGAGCAAAGAAGUACUACAUGACACAGUAAUUCCAGUGCUAGGUUUAUACCCAAGAGACUUGAGAGCAGGGUACAAGCAGAUGUGUUUAUACCAAUGCUCAUGGCGUCACUAUUCACAAUAACCAAAAGGUAGAAACAACCUAAAUAUCUAUCAACAUACAUGGUUAAACAAAAUGUAGUAUACAUAUACAAUGGGAUGUUAUUCAGCCAGGAAGAGAAAUGAAGUUCUGAUACAUACUGCUACAUGGAUGAACCUUGAGAACAUUAUUGUGACUGAAAUACAUCAGGCAAAAAAGACAAAUAUUGUAUGAUUCCACGUAUAUGAAAUCUCUAGAUUAGGCAAAAAUGUAUUAGUGUAAGAUAGUACACAAUACUGGGGAAGCCAGCACAACCUGUACAAGGCAAGGUCAUGGUAGUGCCAUAGACACAUCCAAAAUUCCGAGGGACAGAAUUGCUGGGCUGAGGGCUGUGGGCAUCAUGAUCUCGGUGAAUAUCUUGCUCAACAGGCAUAACAUAGUUUAUAAAGAAUAUGUUCCACAUUCUACUUUGGUGAGUAGCAUCUGGGGUCUUAAAAGCCUGUGAGCUUUUAAAUAUCUAGCAUACUCCACUGGUCUCACCUUUUUGGGAACAAGAAAGAAUGAAGAAAAUUAAAGAUACAAGGGAAAGAUUAGUCCAAAGGACUAAUUGACCAACUAUACCAUGGCCUCCACCAGACUAAGUCCAGUACAAUGAGAUGGUGCCUGGCUACCACCACUGACUGCUCUGACAGGGAUCACAAUACAUAGCCCCAGACAGAGCUGGAGAAAAAUGUAGAACAAAACUCUAACACAAAAAGAAAGACCAGACUUGCUGGCCUGACAGAGACUGAAGAAGCCCUGAGAGUAUGGCCCCCGACACCCUUUCAGCUCAGUAAUGAGGUCACUCCUGAGGUACAAUCUUCAGCCAAAUAUUGAACAGGCCCAUGGAACAAAACAAGACUAAAGGGGCACACCAGCCCUAGAGCAGGGACUGGAAGGCAGGAGGGAACAGGAAGCUGGUAAUUGGGAACCCAGUGUUGAGAACGGGGAGUGUUGAUAUGUCGUGGUGUUGUUAACCAAUGUCGUAGAACAAUGUGUGUACUAACUCUUUGAUGAGAAACUAGUUUGUUCGGUAAACCUUCAUCUAAAGUACAAUUAAAAAAAAUGUGUUAGUGGUUACCAGGGUAUUGGGGUAGGGCAGAAAGGCAGUUAUUGCUUAAAGGGUACUUAGUUUCUGUUUGAGGUGAAGUAAAACUUUAGAAAUGGAUAGCGAUGAUGUGGCACAACAUGGUGAAUGUAAUUCAUGUCACUGAUGUAUAAAAAAAAGUAUAUACUUUAUUUAAAAAUGGUUGAAAUUGCAAACUUUCCAUUAUAUAUAUUCUAC